rnacentral:misc_RNA from 1 species
AACUUAUCAUCAACAUCCUUGGCAGCCAGAGGGUGGAGGAUCUUGAAUUCAUUGAUAAUCCUAAGGCUAAGAAAUACAUUAAGUCACUUCCAUAUUCCCCUGGUACCCCAUUUUCUCACCUUUACCCUAAUGCCCAUCCUUCGGCAAUUGAUCUGCUUGGGAAAAUGCUUGUUUUUGAUCCAUCAAAGAGAAUAACUGUUACUGAAGC